CCUACGGGAGGCAGCAGUGGGGAAUAUUGGACAAUGGGGGGAACCCUGAUCCAGCCAUGCCGCGUGUGUGAAGAAGGCCCUCGGGUUGUAAAGCACUUUCAGUGAGGAAGAACGCCUGGUGGUUAAUACCCAUCAGGAAAGACAUCACUCACAGAAGAAGCACCGGCUAACUCCGUGCCAGCAGCCGCGGUAAUACGGAGGGUGCGAGCGUUAAUCGGAAUUACUGGGCGUAAAGCGCGCGUGGGUGGCUUGAUAAGCCGGUUGUGAAAGCCCCGGGCUCAACCUGGGAACGGCAUCCGGAACUGUCAAGCUAGAGUGCAGGAGAGGAAGGUAGAAUUCCCGGUGUAGCGGUGAAAUGCGUAGAGAUCGGGAGGAAUACCAGUGGCGAAGGCGGCCUUCUGGACUGACACUGACACUGAGGUGCGAAAGCGUGGGUAGCAAACAGGAUUAGAUACCCCGGUAGUC
rnacentral:rRNA from 1 species